UGUGUGUGUGUGUGUGUGAGUGUGUGUGUGUGUACAUGCAUAUUAUUUUUGUAUUUAUGUAUGUACACACACACACACAUACACACACUCACACA
rnacentral:pre_miRNA from 1 species